rnacentral:rRNA from 1 species
UUAAGCUACAAAGAGCGUAGGGUGAAUAGCUAGGCACCAAGAGCCGAAGAAGGACGUGAUAAGCUGCGAAAAGCUUUGGGUAGGAGCAAAUAUCCAUUAAUCCAGAGAUAUCCGAAUGAGGGAACUCACUUAGAGCAAACAAUCUAAGUAUCCAUAUAUGAGUAAAGUAGUAUAUGAGAAGGGAACGUGGGGAACUGAAACAUCUUAGUACCCACAGGAAAAGAAAGAGAAAUCGAUUCCUAGAGUAGUGGCGAGCGAAAUAGGAAGAGCCUAAACCAUGAGUAGUAAUACACAUGGGGUUCGGACCACGAUAUAUUAUCAACAAUUCUAAUAGAAAUGUUUUGGAAAAGCAUACCAUAGACGGUGAAAGUCCAGUAUAUGAAAGAAAAGUUGAGAUUAGUGGUAUCCAGAGUAGUACGAGACACGAGAAAUCUCGUAUGAAUAAGCGGGGACCAUCCCGUAAGGCUAAAUACUACUUGGUGACCGAUAGUGAACUAGUACCGUGAGGGAAAGGUGAAAAGAACCCCGGGAGGGGAGUGAAAUAGAACAUGAAACCCUAUGUUUACAAGCAGACAAAGCACUUUAUAUGUGCGAUGUCGUACUUUUUGUAGAACGGUCCAGCGAGUUAUUGUGUAUGGCGAGGUUAAGUAUUACGUAAGGUACGGAGCCGAAGCGAAAGCGAGUCUGAAAAGGGCGAUAUAAGUCAUGCAUAAUAGACCCGAAACUGAGUGACCUAUCCAUGAGCAGGAUGAAGCUAGAGUAAAAUCUAGUGGAGGUCCGAACUGAUUGUCGUUAAAAAGGCACCGGAUGACUUGUGGAUAGCGGAGAAAUUCCAAUCGAACUCAGAGAUAGCUGGUUCUCCUCGAAAUAGCUUUAGGGCUAGCCUUGAGGGAAUGCAUAUGGGGGUAGAGCACUGAAUGAGGUAGGGGCCUAACCAGGUUACCAAACUCUAUCAAACUCCGAAUACCAUAUGUAAAUACUCAGGAGUCAGACUGCGGGAGCUAAGUUCCGUGGUCAAAAGGAAAACAGUCCAGAUCGUCAAUUAAGGUCCCAAAGAUAUAGCUAAGUGGAAAACGAUGUGAUUUUGCAUAAACAACCAGGAUGUUGGCUCAGAAGCAGCCAUUCAUUCAAAGAGUGCGUAAUAGCUCACUGGUCGAGUGAAGUUGCGCGGAAAAUUACCGGGGCUAAGCUAUACACCGAAAUUGCGGAUUUACAUUUGAAAGAUAAUGUAAGUGGUAGAGGAGCAUUCUGUAGUAGGAAGAAGCAUGACCGUAAGGACAUGUGGACGAAGCAGAAGAGAGAAUGCUGGAAUAAGUAGCGAGAGGAUGGUGAGAAUCCAUCCCGUCGAAAAUCUAAGGUUUCCCAGGGAAGGUUCGUCCGCCUGGGGUAAGUCGGGACCUAAGGAGAGGCCGAAAGGCGUAUCUGAUGGAUAGCAGGUUGAAAUUCCUGCACUACGAAUAUACUUAAAAGAUUCAAGGGACGCAGAAGUGGAAGAUAACCAAGUAAGAGGAAAAGCUUGGCUCGCAAGAGGGAGUGAAAAUUAAAAGUAACGAAGUAUCAAGAAGCACGCUGACGAGAAAAGCUUGAAGAUAUUGUAUAUAAGUACCCGUACCGCAAACCGACACAGGUAGAUGAGGAGAGGAUCCUAAGACGAGCGGGAGAAGCAUUGUUAAGGAACUCGGCAAAUUAACCCCGUAACUUCGGAAUAAGGGGUGCUGAUGUAACAGUCAGUCGCAGAGAAAAGGCCCAAGCAACUGUUUAACAAAAACAUAGGUUUCUGCUAAAUCGAAAGAUGAAGUAUAGGAGCUGACGCCUGCCCAGUGCUGGAAGGUUAAGGGAAAGAGUUAGGGUUAAACCGAAGCUUAGAACUGAAGCCCCAGUGAACGGCGGCCGUAACUAUAACGGUCCUAAGGUAGCGAAAUUCCUUGUCAGGUAAG